UUGUUUUAUUAGGAUUAAAAGUGCCAUUUUUUGCGACGAGCAAAUUUUGCAUUUGCGAGGCGGAGCGAAGCGAAGCCGAGCGGAUGCAAAAUUGCGAGUCAAAAACUGACUUUUAAUCCGAAUGAAACAUACUACUUUUUCGCCAGCCAAAAAGUAAAUCUCAAAAAUACAAAAUAUUGAUAACAAUAAUAUCGAGCAGAAAUGAAUCAAUCUGCAAAGUAGUCUGGUAUCCACGUCGUCAAGGCUUUUUUUGUUUGCUUACAUACCAUUGUUUUGUGAAAACGUUUGCAGUGUUAAUAAUGAAUCCUGAAGAAGAGUUACCUCCCGAUGUGCUAGAAGAAGCACAAAACGUGGUACUGAACUUGUUACCAACAAAAUCGCGCGAAGUGUAUGAGUGCGCGUAUACCCGCUUCAUCAAAUGGUGCGAAGGGAAAAAGAUUCAAACUUAUUCUGAGAACGUCCUAUUGGUAUAUUUUUCCGAAUUGGCUACAAAAAUGAAGUCAUCCACACUGUGGUCGCACUAUUCUAUGGUGAAAGCAACUUUAAAUAUAAAAAAUGGCAUAGAAAUCGGAAAGUAUUCAAAAUUAAAAGCGUUUAUAAAGAAACAAGGAGAAGGAUACGUUCCAAAGAAAUCAAGGGUUUUAACUAAUGAACAAAUAGAAGUUUUCUUAGACACGGCUCCGGAUUUCAAAUUCCUGAUGAUGAAAAUUGUUGUAAUCUUUGGCGUUAGCGGAGCUUGUCGGUGUCACGAACUAUUACAAAUAAAAACUGAAGAUAUUGAAAAUAUUAAAGCAGGUUUAUUGGUAAAAAUUCCUGAUACCAAAACGAAAAAACCCAGAUCAUUUACGGUUAUGGGGGAAAAGUAUUUGAAAUUUUUUUCGUUUGGAAGAACCAGGUACAAGUAGUGAAACCACAAGUAAAAUACAUGAAGACGCAACGAAUAGGAAUGUGAGCGAAGUAAACCUAGAAGAAUCAGGUACAAGUAGUGGAACUACGAAUAGAAUGAUCACACGUGAAGACGGAAUAAGUAGGAAUGUGGGAGCAGUAAACCUGAAUUUUGACACUGUGACCAACCAGACAGCAGGAGCGGUAGAAGUGUUAGCGCAAAAUAUUAUUACUGACCGCAUGAAAAAUGAUAAUAGUGACGGAAAAUCUUUAAUCCAAAUCAAUCGCAGUUGUUCUUAUUGUACAUUCAAUAUUAAUUUUAAAAUUUAAAUAAUUAAUAACAAUGUAAGUUAAUAAUAAAAUUGGAAAAUAUUAA